rnacentral:rRNA from 1 species
UAGGGAAUCUUCGGCAAUGGACGAAAGUCUGACCGAGCAACGCCGCGUGAGUGAAGAAGGUUUUCGGAUCGUAAAACUCUGUUGUUAGAUAAGAACAAGGACGUUAGUAACUGAACGUCCCCUGACGGUAUCUAACCAGAAAGCCACGGCUAACUACGUGCCAGCAGCCGCGGUAAUACGUAGGUUGCAAGCGUUGUCCGGAUUUAUUGGGCGUAAAGCGAGCGCAGGCGGUUUCUUAAGUCUGAUGUGAAAGCCCCCGGCUCAACCGGGGAGGGUCAUUGGUAACUGGGAGGCGUGAGUGCAGAAGGGGAGAGUGGAAUUCCAUGUGUAGCGGUGAAAUGCGUAGAUAUAUGGAGGAACACCAGUGGCGAAGGCGGCUCUCUGGUCUGUAACUGACGCUGAGGCUCGAAAGCGUGGGGAGCAAACAGG